rnacentral:rRNA from 1 species
GAUGAACGCUGGCGGCGUGCCUAAUACAUGCAAGUCGAACGCUUCACUUCGGUGAAGAGUGGCGAACGGGUGAGUAAUACAUAAGUAACCUGGCAUCUACAGGGGGAUAACUGAUGGAAACGUCAGCUAAGACCGCAUAGGUGUAGAGAUCGCAUGAACUCUAUAUGAAAAGUGCUACGGGACUGGUAGAUGAUGGACUUAUGGCGCAUUAGCUUGUUGGUAGGGUAACGGCCUACCAAGGCGACGAUGCGUAGCCGACCUGAGAGGGUGACCGGCCACACUGGGACUGAGACACGGCCCAGACUCCUACGGGAGGCAGCAGUAGGGAAUUUUCGGCAAAGGGGGGAACCCUGACCGAGCAACGCCGCGUGAAGGAAGAAGUAAUUCGUUAUGUAAACUUCUGUCAUAGAGGAAGAACGGUGGAUAUAGGGAAUGAUAUCCAAGUGACGGUACUCUAUAAGAAAGCCACGGCUAACUACGUG